UGCCAAGGACGUUUUCAUUAAUCAAGAACGAAAGUUAGGGGAUCGAAGAUGAUCAGAUACCGUCGUAGUCUUAACCAUAAACUAUGCCGACUAGGGAUCGGGUGGUGUUCUUUUUUGACCCACUCGGCACCUUACGAGAAAUCAAAGUUUUUGGGUUCUGGGGGGAGUAUGGUCGCAAGGCUGAAACUUAAAGGAAUUGACGGAAGGGCACCACCAGGAGUGGAGCCUGCGGCUUAAUUUGACUCAACACGGGGAAACUCACCAGGUCCAGACACAAUAAGGAUUGACAGAUUGAUAGCUCUUUCUUGAUUUUGUGGGUGGUGGUGCAUGGCCGUUCUUAGUUGGUGGAGUGAUUUGUCUGCUUAAUUGCGAUAACGAACGAGACCUUAACCUACUAAAUAGUACUAUUAGCGUUUGCUGAUUUGGGACUUCUUAGAGGGACUAUCGGUUUCAAGCCGAUGGAAGUUUGAGGCAAUAACAGGUCUGUGAUGCCCUUAGACGUUCUGGGCCGCACGCGCGCUACACUGACGGAGCCAACGAGUAUAUCCUUUGCCGAGAGGUACGGGUAAACUUGUGAAACUCCGUCGUGCUGGGGGAUAGAGCAAUUGCAAUUAUUGCUCCUUC
rnacentral:rRNA from 1 species